rnacentral:rRNA from 1 species
AUUGAACGCUGGCGGCAGGCCUAACACAUGCAAGUCGAGCGAGCGGCGGACGGGUGAGUAAUGUCUGGGAAACUCCCUGCUGUAGGGGGAUAACUACUGGAAACGGUAGCUAUUACCGCAUACCAUCAGAUGUGCCCAGAUGGGAUUAGCUCGUGGGUGGGGUAACGGCUCACCUAGGCGACGAUCCCUAGCUGGUCUGAGAGGAUGACCAGCCAAACUGGAACGGAGACACGGCCCAGACUCCUACGGGAGGCAGCAGUGGGGAAUAUUGCACAAGGGGCGCAAGCCUGAUGCAGCCAUGCCGCGUGUGUGAAGAAGGCCUUCGGGUUGUAAAGCACUUUCAGCGGGGAGGCGUUACCCGCAGAAGAAGCACCGGCUAACUCCGUGCCAGCAGCCGCGGUAAUAC